GAUGAACGCUAGCUACAGGCUUAACACAUGCAAGUCGAGGGGAAACGACAUCGAAAGCUUGCUUUUGAUGGGCGUCGACCGGCGCACGGGUGAGUAACGCGUAUCCAACCUGCCCAUCACUUGGGAAUAACCUUGCGAAAGUAAGACUAAUACCCAAUGAUAUCCCACGAAGGCAUCGGAAUGGAAUUAAAGAUUUAUCGGUGAUGGAUGGGGAUGCGUCUGAUUAGCUUGUUGGCGGGGUAACGGCCCACCAAGGCAACGAUCAGUAGGGGUUCUGAGAGGAAGGUCCCCCACAUUGGAACUGAGACACGGUCCAAACCCCUACGGGAGGCAGCAGUGAGGAAUAUUGGUCAAUGGGCGAGAGCCUGAACCAGCCAAGUAGCGUGCAGGAAGACGGCCCUAUGGGUUGUAAACUGCUUUUAUAAGGGAAUAAAGUGGGUCACGUGUGACUUUUUGCAUGUACCUUAUGAAUAAGGACCGGCUAAUUCCGUG
rnacentral:rRNA from 1 species